rnacentral:rRNA from 1 species
AACGAACGCUGGCGGCAUGCCUAACACAUGCAAGUCGAACGAGACCUUCGGGUCUAGUGGCGCACGGGUGCGUAACGCGUGGGAACCUGCCCUUAGGUUCGGAAUAACUCCCCGAAAGGGGUGCUAAUACCGGAUAAUGUCUUCGGACCAAAGAUUUAUCGCCUUUGGAUGGGCCCGCGUUGGAUUAGCUAGUUGGUAGGGUAAAAGCCUACCAAGGCGACGAUCCAUAGCUGGUCUGAGAGGAUGAUCAGCCACACUGGGACUGAGACACGGCCCAGACUCCUACGGGAGGCAGCAGUGGGGAAUAUUGGACAAUGGGCGAAAGCCUGAUCCAGCAAUGCCGCGUGAGUGAUGAAGGCCUUAGGGUCGUAAAGCUCUUUUACCCGGGAUGAUAAUGACAGUACCGGGAGAAUAAGCUCCGGCUAACUCCGU